rnacentral:rRNA from 1 species
CUACGGGGCACCAGUGAGGAAUAUUGCACAAUGGGGGGAACCCUGAUGCAGCAACGCCGCGUGGAGGAUGACGCAUUUCGGUGUGUAACUCCUUUUAUAUGUCAAGAAAAUGACGGUAGCAUAUGAAUAAGCACCGGCUAACUCCGUGCCAGCAGCCGCGGUAAUACGGAGGGUGCAAGCGUUACUCGGAAUCACUGGGCGUAAAGGACGCGUAGGCGGGUUGGAAAGUCAGGUGUGAAAUCCUACAGCUUAACUGUAGAACUGCACUUGAAACUUCUAAUCUAGAGUAUGGGAGGGGGAGAUGGAAUUAGUGGUGUAGGGGUAAAAUCCGUAGAUAUCACUAGGAAUACCUAAAGCGAAGGCGAUCUCCUGGAACAUUACUGACGCUAAGGCGUGAAAGCGUGGGGAGCAAACAGGAUUAGAUACCCUUGUAGUC